AAUGUAUCGGAACGUGCCCAGUUGUGGGGGAUAACUGCUCGAAAGAGCAGCUAAUACCGCAUACGACCUGAGGGUGAAAGCGGGGGAUCGCAAGACCUCGCGCAAUUGGAGCGGCCGAUAUCAGAUUAGGUAGUUGGUGGGGUAAAGGCCCACCAAGCCAACGAUCUGUAGCUGGUCUGAGAGGACGACCAGCCACACUGGGACUGAGACACGGCCCAGACUCCUACGGGAGGCAGCAGUGGGGAAUUUUGGACAAUGGACGCAAGUCUGAUCCAGCCAUGCCGCGUGCGGGAAGAAGGCCUUCGGGUUGUAAACCGCUUUUGUCAGGGAAGAAAAGGGCGACUCUAAUACAGUUGCCUCAUGACGGUACCUGAAGAAUAAGCACCGGCUAACUACGUGCCAGCAGCCGCGGUAAUACGUAGGGUGCAAGCGUUAAUCGGAAUUACUGGGCGUAAAGCGUGCGCAGGCGGUUAUGCAAGACAGAUGUGAAAUCCCCGGGCUCAACCUGGGAACUGCAUUUGUGACUGCAUGGCUAGAGUACGGUAGAGGGGGAUGGAAUUCCGCGUGUAGCAGUGAAAUGCGUAGAUAUGCGGAGG
rnacentral:rRNA from 1 species